UACGGAGGAUGCAAGCGUUAUCCGGAAUGAUUGGGUGUAAAGCGUCCGCAGGUGGCUAUGUAAGUCUGCUGUUAAAGAGUGAGGCUCAACCUCAUAAAAGCAGUGGAAACUACAUGGCUAGAGUGCGUUCGGGGCAGAGGGAAUUCCUGGUGUAGCGGUGAAAUGCGUAGAGAUCAGGAAGAACACCGGUGGCGAAAGCGCUCUGCUAGGCCGCAACUGACACUGAGGGACGAAAGCUAGGGGAGCGAAUGGG
rnacentral:rRNA from 1 species